rnacentral:sRNA from 1 species
GGAAAAGCAACUGAGGUCUUAACUUUCAGACGCUGAAUUCUCAUCUAAUUGAAAUUACUGGGCAUAAUGCUAUAUAUAGCCAAUGAAGAGAUUUUGAGCUCUCACUCAGUGCCUUCAAGACAUGUCGUUUUGUAGUCAGAGAAAACAGAGAUCAAUGCAUUUUCAAACUGACAGAGGGAACGGAUGCUCUUUAGUAGCACAUGCCCAGGAUCGUGUGUGUGGGGCUUGCGCUGUGCUGAGAAGCUGAAUACCGGUCCAUAUGCUCCUUAUUUACUGCAAUGUUCUUUGCAUGUUACUGUGCACUCCGGACUAACGUGAAGAAGUAUCGAUAUCAAGAUGAGGACGCUCCACAUGAUCAUUCCUUACCUCGACUAACCCAUGAAGUAAGAGGCCCAGAACUCGUGCAUGUAUCAGAAAAGAACCUCUCUCAAAUAGAAAAUGUCCAUGGAUACGUCUUGCAGUCUCAUAUUUCUCCUCUGAAGGCCAGUCCUGCUCCUAUAAUUGUCAACACAGAUACUUUGGACACAAUUCCUUAUGUCAAUGGGACAGAAAUUGAAUAUGAAUUUGAAGAAAUUACACUGGAGAGGGGGAAUUCUGGCCUGGGAUUCAGUAUUGCUGGGGGGACAGAUAAUCCCCACAUUGGAGAUGACCCUGGCAUAUUUAUUACGAAGAUUAUACCAGGAGGUGCUGCAGCAGAGGAUGGCAGACUCAGGGUCAAUGAUUGUAUCUUGCGGGUGAAUGAGGUUGAUGUGUCAGAGGUUUCCCACAGUAAAGCGGUGGAAGCCCUGAAGGAAGCAGGGUCUAUCGUUCGGCUGUAUGUGCGUAGAAGACGACCUAUUUUGGAGACCGUUGUGGAAAUCAAACUGUUCAAAGGCCCUAAAGGUUUAGGCUUCAGUAUUGCAGGAGGUGUGGGGAACCAACACAUUCCUGGAGACAACAGCAUUUAUGUAACUAAAAUUAUAGAUGGAGGAGCUGCACAAAAAGAUGGAAGGUUGCAAGUAGGAGAUAGACUACUAAUGGUAAACAACUACAGUUUAGAAGAAGUAACACACGAAGAGGCAGUAGCAAUAUUAAAGAACACAUCAGAGGUAGUUUAUUUAAAAGUUGGCAAACCCACUACCAUUUAUAUGACUGAUCCUUAUGGUCCACCUGAUAUUACUCACUCUUAUUCUCCACCAAUGGAAAACCAUCUACUCUCUGGCAACAAUGGCACUUUAGAAUAUAAAACCUCCCUGCCACCCAUCUCUCCAGGAAGGUACUCACCAAUUCCAAAGCACAUGCUUGUUGACGACGACUACACCAGGCCUCCGGAACCUGUUUACAGCACUGUGAACAAACUAUGUGAUAAGCCUGCUUCUCCCAGGCACUAUUCCCCUGUUGAGUGUGACAAAAGCUUCCUCCUCUCAGCUCCCUAUUCCCACUACCACCUAGGCCUGCUACCUGACUCUGAGAUGACCAGUCAUUCCCAACAUAGCACCGCAACUCGUCAGCCUUCAGUGACUCUCCAACGGGCCAUCUCCCUGGAAGGAGAGCCUCGCAAGGUAGUCCUGCACAAAGGCUCCACUGGCCUGGGCUUCAACAUUGUCGGUGGGGAAGAUGGAGAAGGUAUUUUUGUGUCCUUCAUUCUGGCUGGUGGACCAGCAGACCUAAGUGGGGAGCUCCAGAGAGGAGACCAGAUCCUAUCGGUGAAUGGCAUUGACCUCCGUGGUGCAUCCCACGAGCAGGCAGCUGCUGCACUAAAGGGGGCUGGACAGACAGUGACGAUUAUAGCACAAUAUCAACCUGAAGAUUACGCUCGAUUUGAGGCCAAAAUCCAUGACCUACGAGAGCAGAUGAUGAACCACAGCAUGAGCUCCGGGUCCGGAUCCCUGCGAACCAAUCAGAAACGCUCCCUCUACGUCAGGUAGGCAAUGGAGUAUUUCUCUAUCUGCACUUUGUGAGCAAUUCAACUUGAGAAAACAAAGGCAACACCAUGUAGCAACAGAACAUGUGUCCCACUUAACCCAUGUUCAUCAGUACACUACUGAAAGACCUUGUGUUUAAGCAUUUGGAAUAAAUGUUUGAAAUGUUAUUAGAUUAAAUUAGUUAAAGGUGCCUGCUUUUAUCAAGUUAUUCUUUGGCAAAGUUAUGAUUCAGGAUAAAGUGCUCAGCAUAGGUUGCAAUAAAAAUAAUGAGAAGAAACAUUUUCAUUUCUAAUAAAUCUUAAAUGGCAUAUGUGGACCAAACCCUUGGACAUUUGCUUACCAUCAGUGUGAAAAGAAAAUAUUCCUGUAUUAUCUCCUAACCUGCCUGAUACUGAUUGCAUUAACUUUAGUGCAUCAGUUUAAAAUCCACGGCAUUCUUCUAAAGAGUUAUGUGCUUUUCUCUAACAAGUUUUGGCAGAAAGACUUCCUUCUGUGUCAUCUCGCUACCAGUUUUUUUCUCAGACCAUAAAAGUUACUUGUUCCUUGUCUGACAAAACUCAUUAAUUUGCCAGAAAAAGAUAAAUGAUUGAUUGAAUGUGAAAUGCCUUCCAGUCUUUCAUCCUAGUAGCUACCUCUUGAGUAAGAUCCAUCAACACUCAACUAUAACAUGCUCCUCUUCCAAGACAAGCUUCCUGUAUUACUUCCAAACUUCAUCAGUGCUGACUGUACUUUUAAAAAUAUAUAAGUACUAAUAGGCAAAAGGAAGAAAGCGAUGCCUAAUUAACGGGCAACAUGAAUCUAUGUACCAUAUGGAAGAACCAUGCCCAUUCUUAUUGUAUUCUCCACUCCCCACUCUGGCCUGAAUUCAAUCUGACUCCAACCUGAGGUCAUAUCCUUCUUACCUGAAAUUUUAGGCAUGACAUAUAUGUUAUAGAUACUAAUUUACAUGUUUGAGUUGAACUUUUGCUGUUGGUUCCACUUUGGCUCUAAAGUUAAGUUUUGUAUGUAUUUGGUAUUCACAGCAGGGCUAAGAAGGGAGUGGGAUUCUGGAAGGCACAGGUUCUCAUAGGGCUUAAUUUCUCGACUGAACUGAUAAGCCUAGAGUCCUUUCUUAUUCCAGGGAAGCCCUGAGAUUAAGAAAAACAAGUUAUUAACCCUGUGAAUUUGGCCAACUCCAUUUCAAAAGAUUAUUUUGAUACCCUUAAUUGUAAUCUGUGACUGUUCAGAACCACCCUAAAACAUGUCUUGUAGUGACAUUACAAAUAUGAUGGAAAGCUAACAAGCUCCAUUUGUGGUUCUUCUUCUCUCUUGUGUUGUAUUGCUGGUCUACAUGCUACAAAAUAUUUUUAAAUUUUGAAAUGUUUUAGUCCCUGGUAGCAAAUUGGAAAAAGUCAGCUGGGUUAAUAGGAUAGAACUAAAUCAGUUAGUGUAACUGAAAUGGUUAUAUAUAUAAUAAAGCUUGGAGGGAAAAUUACCAAGUAUCUUAUUAAGAGAUAGAAUGCAUAAAUUGUUCAGAUACUAGAAGAAAUUUGCUGAAAUAUAUUGCUAAUAGCUAUUAAGUUUUGGAAGAUUAAGAAAAUUAAAUGAAGUGAUAUGAUAUUAUAUAAAACUAAUACACUUAUUUGAAAGAGUAGUAAUUAGAUUCAGAUCUUUAUUCUCUAAAAUCAUAAAUAAAAGUAUAACGUACAGAAGAGACAAAGACUUAGAGUAACAAAGUAAUGGUUGGAGAUUGUAUUGAAAGGAGGAACCUCUUUUUAAUGAGACUCAAAAAUACUUGACACUUCAUAAGAAAGUCCCCAAAUGAAAUCUCUGUAAUAUACAAAUACGGUAUUUAGUUUCCAAAUAUUCAAUUAUUACUACUUAUUUUGUACCUAGAGGGCUGACUUUAGCAUCUAAAUGACUCUAAGAGACAUAAAAUUAAAAGAAAUAUGGGCCAUGCGUAUAGUCAUAUCAGCAAAUCAGAAAGAAAGAACUUACAAGAGCCCCCUGGCCUUAUUCUCAUGAAAAGUGAUAAAACAGACC